AGAUCGGGUGGCAGACGCACGCCGCUAACACUCUAACUCCGGUCGUCGCAAGAGCUUAGUGGUUGUAACUUUUGAAUUUCUUAAAUUCUCAGAAGACAUCAUGUUACGAAAUAUUCUCAUUCUUUUCGUUAUGUGCUCUUUGGCAGUCGCUAUUGUGCCUCGUCCUAGGAGGGCUGUAGAGUCAGAGGCCAGUUUUGUCGGCAGAAAACCUGCUGAAAUAGAAUGCAAACCUAGCACACCCUGUGGUUGGUCCCUAAUUCCGAAACGCAGUGAACCUGUAACCGAAAUUCCCAACAAUUAUUGUGUAUGCGGCAGCGGAAUGAAUUGUAAGCAAGCAGAAUUAUACUGGGACGGAACAUAUUACGUGAACCGUUGUCUUACAUAAAAAGUUUUCCAACGAAAUAAUUUAAUAAGGGUCUAUUGAGAGAUUUUUCGAGUUCAAACUACGAAUUCUGUGCCAAAAUGAACAUUUUUAAAAGCAUCAUUGAAAUCAAUUACAGAACUAGUUUGAACUCGAAACAUUUCUCGAUAUUAUCAUUAAUCAUUCUAUUUUUAUACAUGGUUUUCAGCAUUUUAUUUAAGUAUAUUGUGUAAAAAAUGCUGACUAUCAUCGGUUAUGGAUUUAAAGGAUACAAUUGCAUAUUGCAUUGGUUAAUGAGGACUUUGGGACCCAUUGACUGGUUAUCAAACUAUAAUUACUUAUGAUUGAAUGACGAUCUAUUUCAAAUUGAAAUAUUUGACAAAAUACAAAAAUACAUCAUUCAUGUGCUUAGUAAUACAUUUAAUUGUUAUGAAUAAUACUACUAUGAAGUUUUGUCAUCUGUUCGCGGGUGUACCAACAUUAGCGAAUUUUAAAUUCAGUUGAUAUACCUAGAGUACAUAAUAUUAUCAUAGAUCACAGAGGUUUUGUGUCUGAAAGUCCUUACGUAAUUCUAAGUAAUAUAAUGGUACUUAUUAGAUUGAGUAUAUUUCAAUCGACAUAAUCAUUUUAAGGUAUUCAUAUUUUAUACAAAGCACGUACUGUGAAACAUGCCAAACGAAAUUGCCUUACAUUGAAAAAAAUAUAUUCUAAAAUAAUGGCCAUAUCUUUAAUUUUAGAAACAAUAAUAUUGUGAUGAUGUGUUCUUUUUUAUAUUUGGCUUUAAAAUUUAAACGGUAAUCGCUUGAUAUUGAAAGCGUAUAAAAAUAUUUUUACAAUAUAUAUAAUUUUAUAACUCUGACGCAAUUAACCUAACUCAUAUAAAAAGUAAUAGGUUUAAUUUCAUUUUAGACGAUCAUGGCCCACGGAAAUAGUUAGAAUUAGCUUUUUCGCAAUAAAAUAACUAAGCAUGUACUUAGGCAAUUCAAAAAAAACUUCAUUUCAGCAAAUAAUGUUCUACAAUGAGUUUUUAUAUAAUAUUACUUGUAACUUAACUACGAAGUACCUAGGUACUUAAUUCGAUUUAUUUUUUCUGUUCUAAAUCAAUAAAUCCAAGCGUUCAACUAAGAGUUUACUCAAAUACUUGAUAAAAUUUGUUUUUUCGUUUUCUGGCAGGCAAAUUAUGUAUGUAAGAAUGGCAUAUUUCACGGUUAGUAUAUUGUUCCUAUUUUCAAUGUAAUCCUAAGUAAUAAGUUUUAUAAUUAUUAUUUUUGUACAUUAUUUUUCUCAUUGUAGAGUUAAAUAAUUAGUAUUCGUUCUGAUUACUUAUUCGAACUAUUAAACUUUGAUAUGAAAA